CUCCUUGCACACACCGCCCGUCAAACCACCCGAGUAGGGUCUGGAUGAGGGUGAGCCCACUUGACUCAUUCGAAUCUGGAUUCUGCAAGGGGGGGUU
rnacentral:rRNA from 1 species